AUGAAGGUUUUGGUUUCCAGACUGGUUGAUGGUUCAACUCCUGGUGAUCCACAACAGGGAGAAAAAUAUCAAUAUAUCACUUUAUAUCAUCAGGAGGAGGAGAGGGGGACUUUAUAUUAUGAGGAGGAGGAGAGGAGGACUUUAUAUCAUCAGGAGGAGGAGAGGAGGACUUUAUAUCAUCAGGAGGAGGAGAGGAGGACUUUAUAUCAUCAGGAGGAGGAGAGGAGGACUUUAUAUCCUCAGGAGGAGGAGAGGAGGACUUUAUAUCAUCAGGAGGAGAGGAGGACUUUAUAUCAUCAGGAGGAGGAGAGGAGGACUUUAUAUCAUCAGGAGGAGGAGAGGAGGACUUUAUAUCAUCAGGAGGAGGAGAGGAGGACUUUAUAUCAUCAGGGAGGAGGAGAGGAGGACUUUAUAUCAUCAGGAGGAGGAGAGGAGGACUUAUAUCAUCAGGAGGAGGGAGGAGAGGAGGACUUAUAUCAUCAGGAGGAGGAGAGGAGGACUUUAUAUCAUCAGGAGGAGGAGAGGAGGACUUUAUAUCAUCAGGAGGAGGAGAGGAGGACUUUAUAUCCUCAGGAGGAGAGGAGGACUUUAUAUCAUCAGGAGGAGGAGAGGAGGACUUUAUAUCAUCAGGAGGAGGAGAGGAGGACUUAUAUCCUCAGGAGGAGGAGAGGAGGACUUUAUAUCAUCAGGAGGAGGAGAGGAGGACUUUAUAUCAUCAGGAGGAGGAGAGGAGGACUUUAUAUCAUCAGGAGGAGGAGAGGAGGACUUUAUAUCAUCAGGAGGAGGAGAGGAGGACUUUAUAUCAUCAGGAGGAGGAGAGGAGGACUUUAUAUCAUCAGGAGGAGGAGAGGAGGACUUUAUAUCAUCAGGAGGAGGAGAGGAGGACUUUAUAUCCUCAGGAGGAGGAGGAGGACUUUAUAUCCUCAGGAGGAGGAGAGGAGGACUUUAUAUCAUCAGGAGGAGGAGAGGAGGACUUUAUAUCAUCAGGAGGAGGAGAGGAGGACUUUAUAUCAUCAGGAGGAGAGGAGGACUUUAUAUCAUCAGGAGGAGAGGAGGACUUUAUAUCAUCGGGAGGAGGAGAGGAGGACUUUAUAUCAUCAGGAGGAGGAGAGGAGGACUUUAUAUCAUCAGGAGGAGGAGAGGAGGACUUUAUAUCAUCAGGAGGAGAGGAGGACUUUAUAUCAUCAGGAGGAGGAGAGGAGGACUUUAUAUCCUCAGGAGGAGGAGAGGAGGACUUUAUAUCAUCAGGAGGAGAGGAGGACUUUAUAUCCUCAGGAGGAGAGGAGGACUUUAUAUCCUCAGGAGGAGAGGAGGAGGACUUUAUAUCCUCAGGAGGAGGAGAGGAGGACUUUAUAUCAUCAGGAGGAGAGGAGGACUUUAUAUCAUCGGGAGGAGGAGAGGAGGACUUUAUAUCAUCGGAGGAGGAGAGGAGGACUUUAUAUCAUCAGGAGGAGGAGAGGAGGACUUUAUAUCAUCAGGGAGGAGGAGAGGAGGACUUUAUAUCAUCAGGAGGAGAGGAGGACUUUAUAUCAUCAGGAGGAGAGGAGGACUUUAUAUCAUCAGGAGGAGAGGAGGACUUUAUAUCAUCAGGAGGAGAGGAGGACUUUAUAUCAUCAGGAGGAGGAGAGGAGGACUUUAUAUCAUCGGGAGGAGGAGAGGAGGACUUUAUAUCAUCGGGAGGAGGAGAGUGAGCCAUCACGUCUACAUUUCUUCAGACAAAUAAUGAAAAGAAAUUAG
ensembl:lncRNA